rnacentral:rRNA from 1 species
GGUUCGGAUUCUGGCUCAGAUUGAACGCUGGCGGGAUGCUUUACACAUGCAAGUCGAACGGCAGCACGGACUUCGGUCUGGUGGCGAGUGGCGAACGGGUGAGUAAUGUAUCGGAACGUGCCUAGUAGGGGGAUAAUUCACAGAAAGGUGAAGCAUACCGCAUAUUACCCUUCGGGGAAAGCGGGGACCUUUCGGGCCUCGCGCACUAUUAGGAGCGGCCGAUAUCGGGAUUAGCUGUUGGUGGGGUAAUGCUCACCAAGGCGACGAUCCGUAGCUGGUUUGAGAGGAUGACCAGCCACACUGGGACUGAGACACGGCCCAGACUCCUACGGGAGGCAGCAGUGGGGAAUUUUGGGACAAUGGGGAAACUCCUUGAUCCAGCCAUCCCGCGUGUGCGAUGAAGGCCUUCGUCAGGUAAAGCAUUUUUGGCAGGAGUAAAGAAACGGGUACGGGAUAAUACCCCGUGCAACUGACGGUACCUGCAGAAUAAGCACCGGCUAACUACGUGCCAGCAGCCGCAGGUAAUACGUAGGGUGCAAGCGUUAAUCGGAAUUACUGGGCGAAGCGUGGCGCAGGCGGUUCGGAAAGAAAGAUGUGAAAUCCCAGAGCUUAACUUUGGAACUGCAUUUUUAACUACCGAGCUAGAGUGUGUCAGAGGGAAAGGUGCGUAGAAUUCCGCGUAGCAGUGAAAUGCGUAGAUAUGCGGAGGAACACCGAUGGCGAAGGCAGCCUCCUGGGAUAACACUGACGCUCAUGCACGAAAGCGGGGAGCAACAGGAUUAGAUACCCUGGUAGUCCACGCCUCUAAACGAUGUCAACUUUCGAAGGUUGGGGCCUUCGGGCCUUGGUAGCGCAGCUAACGCGUGAAGUUGACCGCCUGUGGAGUACGGUCGCAAGAUUGGGAAAUCCAAGGAAUUGACGGGGACCGCACAAGCGGUGGAUGAUGGAUUAAUUCGAUGCAAUGCGAAAAACCUUACCUACCCUUGACAUGUCUGGAAUCCCGAAGAGAUCGGGAGUGCUGCAAGAGGACCGAACACAGGUGCUGUAUGGUUAAGCCGCCUGUGCCGGAGAUGUUGGGUUAAGUCCUGGCAACGAAAGGCAACCCUUUGUCAUUAGUUGCUACGAAAGGGCACUCUGCACGAGACUGCCGGUGACAAAACCGGAGGAAGGUGGGAUGACGUCAAGUCCUCAUGGCCCUUAUGGGUAGGGCUUACACGUCAUACAAUGGUCGGGACAGAGGGUCGCCAACCCGCGAGGGGGAGCCAAUCCCAGAAACCCGAUCGUAGUCCGGAUCGCAGUCUGCAACCUGACUGUGUGAAGUCGGAAUCGCUAGUAAUCGCGGACUGCAGUCGUCGCGGUGAAUACGUUCCCGGCCUUGUACACACCGCCCGUCACACCAUGGGAGUGGGUUUUACCAGAAGUAGUUAGCCUAACCGUAAGGAGGGCGAUUACCACGGUAGGAUUCAUGAUCACACUGGGGUGAAGUCGUAACAAGGUA